rnacentral:rRNA from 1 species
UACGUAGGUGGCAAGCGUUAUCCGGAUUUAUUGGGUGUAAAGGGCGUGUAGGCGGGAAUGCAAGUCAGAUGUGAAAACUAUGGGCUCAACCCAUAGCCUGCAUUUGAAACUGUAUUUCUUGAGUGCUGGAGAGGCAAUCGGAAUUCCGUGUGUAGCGGUGAAAUGCGUAGAUAUACGGAGGAACACCAGUGGCGAAGGCGGAUUGCUGGACAGUAACUGACGCUGGGGCGCGAAAGCGUGGGGAGCAAAUAGG